UACGUAGGGGGGCAAGCGUUUGUCCGGAUUUACUGGGCGUAAAGAGCGCGUAGGCGGAAGCUUAAGUGUGGCCUGAAAGCCCCCGGCUCAACCGGGGAGGGUGGCUGCAAACUGGGCUUCUUGAGGGCGAUAGAGGAAGGUGGAAUUCCGGGUGUAGCGGUGAAAUGCGUAGAGAUCCGGAGGAACACCAGUGGCGAAGGCGGCCUUCGGUCGGU
rnacentral:rRNA from 1 species